rnacentral:misc_RNA from 1 species
UCCAAUGCCUUACGAUAAAAUAUUAUGUCCCGUUUCACUGUUGCAGCACUUUGUUUUCCCUUCCACCAAUGUACAAAUGGGAAACAAUCACGGACUGGCUCUUGGUAAAAAUUUGGUCGAAGGUGAAAGUAACUCCAACACUGUAGUAGUGUCAAACAACCGCUGAUUGUACUUUGAGAUUUAAGAGAUGCUCUACCAAGUGCUCUAUACAAAAAAGCCAAUGCUGCAGCACCCCAUGCAUACUUUCCUGCCUUUUCAAAAUCGUCAAACAGUGGGAGGUACAUGAUAGGGACUUUGUUCCCAGUAGUAGUUGAAAAG